GGGGGAGUAGCUCAAGUGGUAGAGCAACGCCCUUUUAAGGCGUAGGUUCUGGGUUCGAGUCCCAGCUCCCUCA
rnacentral:tRNA from 1 species